rnacentral:rRNA from 1 species
AUUGAACGCUGGCGGCAGGCCUAACACAUGCAAGUCGAACGGUAACAGGAAGAAGCUUGCUUCUUUGCUGACGAGUGGCGGACGGGUGAGUAAUGUCUGGGAAACUGCCUGAUGGAGGGGGAUAACUACUGGAAACGGUAGCUAAUACCGCAUAACGUCGCAAGACCAAAAAGGGGGACCUUCGGGCCUCUUGCCAUCGGAUGUGCCCAGAUGGGAUUAGCUAGUAGGUGGGGUAACGGCUCACCUAGGCGACGAUCCCUAGCUGGUCCGAGAGGAUGACCAGCCACACUGGAACUGAGACACGGUCCAGACUCCUACGGGAGGCAGCAGUGGGGAAUAUUGCACAAUGGGCGCAAGCCCGAUGCAGCCAUGCCACGUGUAUGAAGAAGGCCUUCGGGUUGUAAAGUACUUUCAGCAGGGAGGAAGGGAGUAAAGUUAAUACCUUUGCUCAUUGACGUUACCCGCAGAAGAAGCACCGGCUAACUCCGUG